rnacentral:misc_RNA from 1 species
GAAAUCUCAACCAUUAGGGUUUCUUAAUGGCUUGGAUUUGAGUGUUGCCAGUCUCUGGCUCACUUUAAAGGAGUUAGCGAGUUUAACAAUGUCGUCUGGCGUAAUAAGUUUCGCUGGUAAGACUUGUGAAGUUUGCUUCUAAUCGUCUUCGGACAAUUACUUUGACUC